AAGGCUAGAGGAGACAAAGCAGGAGAUUCAUGAAUUCAAGGCCACUAGGAGCAAAGACCUGGCUGCCGAUACUUUACUAGGAGCAAUCACACUCGGAAAGACUGCACAAAUUUUACCCUUUGAUAGCCAGGAUUCUGGCCCCAGUAAACACACUGGGAGGGAAGUGACACCUUGACCGAGACCAAAAUGAAAGACAGCCAGAAGCAGAAGCCGGGAAGAGCUGGAAAGACGGAAAGUGUCAAUGGGAAAAGGUUUCUGCUUCACUUCCUGCCCUGACUACCCUUGGUGAUGAUAAACGUAAGAUGAGCCAUCAAAACCUGUAUUGGAAUGGUGCCACUUUAGGAAUGAACACUCACAGAACCAUCUGGAGCGAAUUAAAGUGAAUCUGCGAGAACUCUCCUUUCUCUCAAACCCAUUCCAUCAGGAUGGUCCUCGGGCUUCUGUUCUCCCUCUAAAGUGACAGCAUUUUGCUAUAGGAAAAGAUGAGCAGGGUCCUAUCCAGAGGCAUCUCAUUUUCUUGUAACAAAAGUCCCACCCUUGUCAAGCAUAGCCUUGUCUGAGCCACUUGCAAAGGACAACUCUAUAUUUUCCACAGAGCUGUUAAGCAAUCUGUCCUUCAAUGCCUUUGCUAAGGGCCUCUUGGCACAUCGCCUUGGUGAUGUCUGAAAGGCUAUUUUUCUACCGAUAACACUAUUAUUUUGAGCGGCACAUUAGCUUGUCAUCUAGGUACCA